GUGCAAAUCACUGCAGUGGAAUGAUGCAGUGGGGCAUAAGGACAAUGAAUCAGAUCAGGGCAUAAAGAAACUUGAUCACUCAGUAAAGCUGUUCUGACCCCAGCCAAAACAAGAAUGAAAAGAAAUCUAAGCUCAUCGAUAAAUCAACGUGUGCAAGUCAUUGGCAACUAUAGACUCUUUGAUUUUGUUCUACAAUGGCCAGCAGCGCUAUGCACAGAGUAAACAAUUGUUCCCAACUUCAGAAGCCUGCAGAGACAAAAAAUUGACAGGCUUUCGAAACUGCACUCUGUUGUCCAGAAACUGGCUUCUCCAUGAUGACCUACCAGUGACCUUUGUCAUGACAUUGAAGGACUACCCUCUCCAUGGGUAAGAAGUAAUUCAACUUCAAUAGUUCCCCUGCUCUAGACAUGUAUAAAACAGACAG
rnacentral:lncRNA from 1 species